ensembl:snRNA U7 U7 small nuclear RNA
UAGUGUUACAGCUCUUUUAGGAUUUGUCUAGCAGGUUUUUCCGUUUUUACUGGAAAGCCCCC